rnacentral:rRNA from 1 species
UUGUGGGAAGCAGGGAGGACCACCUCCCAAGGCUAAAUACUACCUGAUGACCGAUAGUGAAGCAGUACCGUGAGGGAAAGGUGAAAAGAACCCCGGGAGGGGAGUGAAAUAGAACCUGAAACCGUGUGCCUACAACCGCUCAGAGCCCCUUAUGAGGGUGAUGAGGUGCUUUUUGUAGAACGAGCCAACGAGUUACGGUAUGUAGCAAGGUUAAGUACUUAAGGUACGGAGCCGAAGGGAAACCGAGUCUGAAUAGGGCGACUAGUUGCAUGCCGUAGACCCGAAACCGGGUGACCUAUCCAUGGCCAGGUUGAAGCGAGGGUAAAACCUCGUGGAGGACCGAACCACGUUGCUGUUGAAAAAGCAUGGGAUGAGCUGUGGAUAGCGGAGAAAUUCCAAUCGAACCCGGAGAUAGCUGGUUCUCUCCGAAAUAGCUUUAGGGCUAGCGUCGAGUAUGAGUAGUGGAGGUAGAGCACUGAAUGGGCUAGGGGGCAUAGCGCUUACCGAACCUUAUCAAACUCCGAAUGCCACAUACUUUGAGCUCGGCAGUCAGACUACGAAUGAUAAGAUCCGUGGUCAAAAGGGAAACAGCCCAGAUCGUCAGCUAAGGUCCCAAAGUGUAAGUUAAGUGGGAAAGGAUGUGAGAUUUCUAAGACAACUAGGAUGUUGGCUUAGAAGCAGCCAUUCAUUAAAAGAGUGCGUAAUAGCUCACUAGUCGAGAGAUCUUGCGCCGAAAAUGUAACGGGGCUAAACUUACCA